rnacentral:rRNA from 1 species
GUGAGGAAUAUUGGUCAAUGGUCGAGAGACUGAACCAGCCAUGCCGCGUGCAGGAAGAAGGCCUUAUGGGUUGUAAACUGCUUUUGUACGGGAGAAAAAAGACAGUCGCGCAUUGUCAUUGAUAGUACCGUAAGAAUAAGGAUCGGCUAACUCCGUGCCAGCAGCCGCGGUAAUACGGAGGAUCCAAGCGUUAUCCGGAUUUAUUGGGUUUAAAGGGUGCGUAGGCGGAUUAUUAAGUCAGUGUUGAAAGGCUAAAGCUUAACUUUAGAAGUGGCAUUGAUACUGGUAGUCUUGAGUACAGAUGAAGUGGGCGGAAUGUGUCAUGUAGCGGUGAAAUGCAUAGAUAUGACACAGAACACCGAUUGCGAAGGCAGCUCACUAAGUUGUAACUGACGCUGAGGCACGAAAGCGUGGGGAUCAAACAGGAUUAGAUACCCGGGUAGUCC